rnacentral:tRNA from 1 species
GGAGAGGUGCGAGAGCGGCUUAAUCGUCGCAGUCAGGAAGACUGUCGCCUGGGUAUCCAGCCGUAGGUUCGAAUCCUACCCUCUCCGCCA